rnacentral:lncRNA from 1 species
AAAAAUAUUAGACAAAUUAUGCGCGCGCGCACUUAGAAAAAAAGCCAGAAAAAUUAUGCGCGCGCGCGCGCAUGCACUUAGAAGAUGCCAGUCGGCGACUCAGUGGGUGUUAGGGUGGUGGACAACGACGAAGGCGAGGAAGGAGGAGAGUUACAUAAAAAAGACGGGGGAGGAGAGCACAGGAACAAGAGGGGCAAGCUGGGAGGAUGGGAAAGAGGGGGAGAAGAGAUGGUUGGCGGCAAUGGCAUCGGUGAUCCAAGGAUA